GCGUGAGUGAUGAAGGUCUUCGGAUCCUAAAACUCUGUUAUUAGGGAAGAACAAAUGUUUUAGUAAUUAUGCACGUCUUGACGGCCCUAAUCAGAAAGCCACGGCUAACUACGUGCCAACAGCCGCGGUAAUACGUAGGUGGCAAGCGUUAUCCGGAAUUAUUGGGCGUAAAGCGCGCGGAGGCGGUUUUUUUAGUCUGAUGUGAAAGCCCACCGCUCAACCGUGGAGGGUCAUUGGAAACUGGAAAACUUGAGUGCAGAAGAGGAAAGUGGAAUUCCAUGUGUAGCGGUGAAAUGCGCAUAGAUAUGGAGGGACACCAGUGGCCAAGGCCACUUUUCUGUUCUGUAACUGACGCUGAUGUGCGAAAGCGUGGGGAUCAAACAGGAUUAGAUACCCCUGGUAGUCCACGCCGUAAACGAUGAGUGCUAAGUGUUAGGGGUUUUCCGCCCCUUAGUGCUGCACCUACGCAUUAAAGCACUCCGCCUGGGGAGUACGGACCGCAUCGUUGAAACCUCAAAGGAAUUGACGGGGACCCGCACAAGC
rnacentral:rRNA from 1 species